GCCCGGUGUAGGAAAUGUUUUACCGGUUAUAGUCUUCUCUUGUUUUAUACCAAUCUGCAACUCUUAAUGUUUGAUGUCAUCGCGCAGUUUUAAAUUCGUAUUGCUUUCAUUCUUCAUCUCCUGCUUUCUGCUCCACCAGACAAAUGGUUCAAUUUGUUAUAACGAAAAAUUGGUUGAAAGCAGGACUGAGAUGCAGCAAGUGGAGACCGGAACUGGUAGCGUCUCAAACAUCCCAGCAAAGCUGUCAGAUGGGCAAAGUAUUACAGUCAUCUGUAAAAAUGCACGACAUGUUUUCGUGAAUCAGAUACGCAGUAAACCGGGGGUGGAUACUGACCUGAUAGACGAGGUGCUGGCUGUAAACCCAAACUCCCUUCACUUACAAAAAGGAGAGAUAGCUGUUAGAUGUGAAGGAGGAGCUCUCAAACCAGAUAUAUUUACUGGGAUCUCUACUUGGUGCGCAGAGGGAUGCAGUCCUAUACCGGAGACCAUGCUGACCUUCCACCAAGUCUCAUACUCUCCUACCUCCAUCUCCAUCUCCCCAACUACUCCCCCUAUUCUUAAGAGCAUCAAGGGGUACAUAACUGUAAGUUGCCGAGAGAGUUACGCUCCAGCCGUUCUUCAGACAGGAGCCCAGGAUACCCGGUGUUUGGGUGAUGGUUAUGACUCUCCCGUCACCAAACUUGUGACUUGCGUCUCUGGUUGUAAAGACAUAACCAGAACAUUUAUGAAUGGGGAACUUGAAGCAAAACCCGAAGCUAGCGAGGUGGAGGGAGCUCCCACUUUUAACGUUGGAGCUGUCAUCUCUGUAUCUUGUAGAUCCGGCUAUCAUAAUCCCGGAGAGAGAUUUGUAACUUGCACUUCUGAUCAAGAAUGGUCUCCUGCCUUGCCUAAGUGUAUAUCCGACUCAGACAAGUCCCGUAGUGUGCCACAAACUACACCCUCUUCUGUACUUUUUAUUAUAAUUUUUGUUUGCAAACAUGAACAAUGGAUCAUGGAAUGACUGAUCGUAGCCAAGGAAAACAAAACUUAAUCAAAGCUUGGUAUAACAAAUUCUGACUUUUUGACAUUUUUACUUUUUUUUCUAAUAAAUACAAUUAACGAUACUGCUUACUGAUAAAUAUUGAUUUUCUUACUGAACAGCCCUGAAAAUCAAUUCAGAUUCGCUAUAAUUGAAAAGACCCUUUUUCGAAUUUAAUCCAAAAAUAAUUAGAUAUUCGAUCAAUAUAAGUAGUUAAACCUUUAAGUUCCACACUUACUGAAAUGUCAUUUGAUAAGUACCGAGUAGGACCAUGUAGAACCUUUGACAGUAAGGAUGGUCGGCAGCUGAAAGAUUAGAUGUCGAGACAAAAAUCCAUAUUCAGCAGCAUUCUCCUUUUCCUUCUCCUAGCAGGGACGUUAUGUACAGACUGCACAUCGGAUAAGAUAACGAUCUCGGUAGAUCAGAUCAAGGAUUUUAAGACCGGAAAGAAUCUUCCUUCGACCUUUGCUGAUGGUGACACCUACACAAUUGUGUGCAAGUACCCUGCAACCCAGGUGUUCACUAACGACGUCAGAGGACAGGCUGAAGUUAAUCAGAGCAGAAUAGAUGAGUUCGACAGUGCAACAAACUCUCACGUCGGACAAAUUGUGGUCAAAUGCAAGAAUGGACUCUUUUCACCGGAUAUUUUCUUCAAAGUUCUUAACUGGUGUGCAGUAGGUUGUUCCCCAGUUCCUGAAGACACGAACCAGCACUGGAAAGCUAGCUACUCGGACGGUUCUCUUUCAACAGCAAAGAAGUCAGCCCCCAUCAUUCCGAACAUUGACAGUUAUAUCAAUGUUCAAUGUAGAGAAGGGUACGCUCCUAGGAUGUAUCAGUUAGGAGGGUUCUCCACCAGGUGUCUAGCAUCUGGUUAUAGCCCAGGACUUUUAAACCUGGUCCAAUGCACAGCUGGUUGCUCAGACAUAUCUGCACAAGUUCCAAAUGCUCGAGUAGUGAGUGAGAGGAGUGCUGUGUCAGGUGCAGCUCCCUAUAACAUUGGUUCUGUAGCUACCGUCAUCUGCUCCAAUGGAUACACCCUUCAGGGUUCCCAGCACACGACGUGCACCUCGCUCCAGGAGUGGUCCCCGAGUGUACCUGUCUGUGCUAUAAACUCGGCGUUAGGACAACUUGGCCAUCGGACAAUUGUUUCAACAAUGUUCUUCAUCAUUGUUAUGAUUUUUAGCUUAUAGUUGGGGCCUCAAUACUUUGGUAUCGGCUUUUACAAGAGUUUUAAUUUUUAAGGAAUUUGAAUAUUCAUGAUUGACGGCAUUUUAUAAUCAUGAUUUGAUGUCUGUUAUUAUUUACGGUAUAACUCAAUGGUCAAUUCUCGGUAUGCUACUAUAUAUAGUCUUCAUGGCAGGAAUUUAUUUGCUUUUAAAAUGUCAAAACCCUUGUAUUCGGUCCUCGGUCUCGACCAAUUUCUAAAUGCAAAUUUUGUUAAUUUAUUGGGACUACAGGAAAGCUACAGUCUGUUCUCUGAAUUUUAACAAAGGCAACAGAUUAAAUUUCCCACCCGUUUAAUUCUACCCAGGCUUUAUUGCCAAAUAGUACCCCAUUAUUCAGAAUCAGAAUAAUGGAAUUCACGGUGACAAUACAAGAGCAAUUCAAAGGUUGACAGACCAUUGUAUUGACUAUCUUAUAUUUUCGCUUGGAAUAUUUUGUUUGAUUUGUUAGUUUAGGAGAGAAUCACGUCAGAAAAUCUAUUAUUGCCCCAGACUUUUCGUUUUAAUAAAAUGUCCCCUUUUAUUUAUUUGUCAGACGUAAACAGGGCUAUUAAAAUUUGAAGAUUUCCUUCAAACAUGGGAUAAUUUAUUGGGACUACAGGAAAGCUGCAGUCUGUUCUCUGAAUUUUAACAAAGGCAACAGAUUAAAUUUCCCACCCGUUUAAUUCUACCCAAGCGCUUUAUUGCCAAAUGCCAAAUAGUACCCUAUUAUUCAGAAUCAGGAUAAUGGAAUUCACGGUGACAAUACAAGAACAAUUCAAAGGUUGGCAUACCAUUGUAUUGACUAUCUUAUAUUUUGCGCUUGG